rnacentral:rRNA from 1 species
GACGAACGCUGGCGGCGUGCCUAAUACAUGCAAGUAGAACGCAGUUUCGAACGGGUGAGUAACGCGUAGGUAACCUGCCUCAUAGCGGGGGAUAACUAUUGGAAACGGUAGCUAAUACCGCCUACUGUGAGAUGGACCUGCGUUGUAUUAGCUAGUUGGUAAGGUAAAGGCUCACCACGGCGACGAUACAUAGCCGACCUGAGAGGGUGACCUGCCACACUGGGACUGAGACACGGCCCAGACUCCUACGGGAGGCAGCAGUAGGGAAUGUUCGGCAAUGGACGAAAGUCUGACCGAGCAACGCCGCGUGAGUGAAGAAGGUUUUCGGAUCGUAAAACUCUGUUGUUAGGGAAGCGGUAUCUAACCAGAAAGCCACGGCUAACUACGUGCCAGCCGCCGCGGUAAUAC